rnacentral:ribozyme from 2 species
ACUGUAAUGCAGCCGCCUACGGGCGCAGGUCCGAAGCCCUGGAAAAUGCAGACGGCAGA